rnacentral:rRNA from 1 species
GUCCACGCCGUAAACGAUGGAUACUAGCUGUUCGGGAGCAAUUCUGAGUGGCUAAGCGAAAGUGAUAAGUAUCCCACCUGGGGAGUACGUUCGCAAGAAUGAAACUCAAAGGAAUUGACGGGGCCCGCACAAGCGGUGGAGCAUGUGGUUUAAUUCGAUGAUACGCGAGGAACCUUACCAGGGCUUAAAAUGUAGUCUGACAGGACCGGAAACGGUUUUCCUUCGGGCAGAUUACAAGGUGCUGCAUGGUUGUCGU